GAAGGGGGCUAGCGUUUGUUCGGAAUUACUGGGCGUAAAGCGCGCGUAGGCGGGUUCUUAAGUCAGGGGUGAAAUCCCGAGGCUCAACCUCGGAACUGCCUUUGAUACUGAGAGCCUAGAGUCCGGGAGAGGUGAGUGGAACUCCUAGUGUAGAGGUGAAAUUCGUAGAUAUUAGGAAGAACACCAGUGGCGAAGGCGGCUCACUGGCCCGGUACUGACGCUGAGGCGCGAAAGCGUGGGGAGCAAACAGGAUUAGAUACCCUGGGUAGUCCACGCCGUAAACGAUGGAUGCCAGCUGUCGGGCAGUAUACUGUUCGGUGGCGCAGUUAACGCAUUAAGCAUCCCGCCUGGGGGAGUACGGUCGCAAGAUUA
rnacentral:rRNA from 1 species